rnacentral:rRNA from 3 species
AUCGGGGUUGCGGACAGUGUCUGGUGGGUAGUUUGACUGGGGCGGUCUCCUCCCAAAGCGUAACGGAGGAGCACGAAGGUUAGCUAAUCCUGGUCGGACAUCAGGAGGUUAGUGCAAUGGCAUAAGCUAGCUUGACUGCGAGCGUGACGGCGCGAGCAGGUGCGAAAGCAGGUCAUAGUGAUCCGGUGGUUCUGAAUGGAAGGGCCAUCGCUCAACGGAUAAAAGGUACUCCGGGGAUAACAGGCUGAUACCGCCCAAGAGUUCAUAUCGACGGCGGUGUUUGGCACCUCGAUGUCGGCUCAUCACAUCCUGGGGCUGAAGUAGGUCCCAAGGGUAUGGCUGUUCGCCAUUUAAAGUGGUACGCGAGCUGGGUUUAGAACGUCGUGAGACAGUUCGGUCCCUAUCUGCCGUGGGCGCUGGAGAAUUGAGGGGGGCUGCUCCUAGUACGAGAGGACCGGAGUGGACGCAUCACUGGUGUUCGGGUUGUCAUGCCAAUGGCACUGCCCGGUAGCUAAAUGCGGAAGAGAUAAGUGCUGAAAGCAUCUAAGCACGAAACUUGCCCCGAGAUGAGUUCUCCCUGAGACUUUAAGUCUCCUGAAGGAACGUUAAAGACGAUGACGUUGAUAGGCCGGGUGUGUAAGCGCAGCGAUGCGUUGAGCUAACCGGUACUAAUGAACCGUGAGGCUUAACCUU